rnacentral:lncRNA from 1 species
GGGGAGGCAGUUCUGGAGGAUUGAACUCAGGGACACGCAACCACUGAGCCAUAUCCCCAGCCCAAUUUUUUGUAUUUUAUUUAUAGACAGGGUCUCACUGAGUUGCUUAUUGCCUUGCAGUUGCUGAGGCUGGCUUUGAACUCCAAAUGCUCCUGCCUCAGCCUCCUGAGCCACUGGGAUUAUAGGUGUGCACCACCAUGCCCGGCUGACACACUGAUCUAACUCUGCAUUUUUUAUUAAAACAGCACCAUGAGAUAGACCCCAGUCAUUUUGUUACUAGAAUCAAAAGUUUUGCUGCAUGCUGCUCAAAGAAAGUUAGAGAAGCAGAAGUUGAUACAGGAAAACAUGUUUAUUCAAAGCCAGACUUGAGGAAGAUAGAGAUCUUUUCUGUCUCAAAUCUCCAAGGAAAGGUGGGGAGGUCAGUGAGGGAACAGCAUUUAUUUAUUUUUUGAUUAAUUUUAUUAAUUCUACUCCACUUGUGUACAAUGAAUUGAAGAACUUUCUGCUGUCAUGUAUAACUGAUCAGUGGAGUAGAAUUUUUCACUUCUCUGGUUGUAUGUGAAAGAGAGUGACACCAUUUGUGCAAUCAUGGUACUUAGGGUAAUGAUGUUCAUCUCAUUCCACCAUCUUUCCUUCCCCCAUGCCUCCUCCCCCCUCCCUCAUCCAAAUUUCCUCCACUCAUCCAUGCACCCCCACCCAUUAUGAAUUAGCACCUACUUAUCAGAGAAAACAUUUGGCCCCUGGUUUUUUGAGAUUGGCAUAUUUCACUUAGCAUGAUAUUCUCCAACUCCAUCCAUUUACCUGCAAAUGUCAUAAUUUUAUUCUCUUUUAAUGCUGAAUAUUAUGCCAUUGUGUACAAAUACCACAGUUUUUUUAAUCCAUUCAUCUAUUAAAAGGCAUCUAGGUUGGUUCCACAGUUUAGUUAUUGGAAAUUCUGCUGCUAUAAUCAUUGAUGUGGCUACGUCACUAUAGUAUAUUUAUUUUUAAGUCCUUUGGGAAUAGAACGAGGAAUGGGAUAGCUGGGUCAAAUGGUGGUUCCAUUCCAAGUUUUCUAAGGAAUCUCCAUACUGCUUUCCAGAUUGGUUGCACCAAUGUGCAGUCUGACAAGCAAUAUGUGAGUGUGCCUUUUCCCCCCACAUCCUCAUCAACACUUACUGUUGCUUGUAUUCUUGAUAACUGCCAUUCUGACUAGAGUGAGAUGAAAUCUUUGAGUAUUUUUGAUUUGCAUUUCUCUAAUUACUAGAGACGUUGAACAUUUUUUCAUAUAUUUGUUGAUCGAUUCUAUAUCUUCCUCUGAGAAGUAUCUGUUCAGAUCCUUAGACCAUUUAUUGA